rnacentral:rRNA from 1 species
AUUCCAGCUCCAAUAGCGUAUAUUAAAGUUGUUGCAGUUAAAAAGCUCGUAGUUGGAUUUCUGGGAGGAUGCCAAUGUCCGUCAUGUACGUGCGCAGCGGCGCCCUUCCAUCCUUCUGUUAACGCCUCUCGGCAUUCAUUUGCUGGUGGCGGGCUCAGAUAUUUUACCUUGAGAAAAUUAGAGUGUUUCAAGCAGGCCCACGCCUUGUAUACAUUAGCAUGGAAUAAUAACAUAGGACCUCGGUUCUAUUUUGUUGGUUUUCUAGAGCUGAGGUAAUGAUGAAUAGGGAUAGUUGGGGCAUUCGUAUUUAACUGUCAGAGGUGAAAUUCUUGGAUUUUGUUUAAAGACGGACUACUGCGAAAGCAUUUUGCCAAGGAUGUUUUUCAUUUGAUCAAGAACGAAAGUUAGGGGAUCGAAGACGAUCAGAUACCGUCCUAGUCUUAAACCAUAAACCAUGCCGACUAGAGAUUGGCGGUCGUUAUCUAUAUGACUCCUUCAGCACCUU